UUAGAAGUAAGGGCCAGACUGUAAAAGGGCAGCACGGCUGAGGGUUUGCUGCUUCGUGCUUGCUGCUGCGCCGGUGCCGUUUUGUUGGCGAUGCAGAGAGCUGGGAUCGAGCCGCGCGCUGCCCCUUCGCCCUUCUGGUCGCUGGUGGCACUAUUGUGGUAGGAGCCCGGCAUGAGCUGGCUGCCGCGGGGGCUGGGGGGCCGCGCUGGGCCGCAGGGUCCCGGUGGAGUGGAGGCGGGUAGCAGGGAAGGAGCUGCUGAACUCAGCUGGGCUCAUUGGAAGCAUCCCUUGGGCCCUUGGCCCCUGGAAGCUCUGCUGUUACUGGAGGACUCGGGAGAUAGCCACUUACGGCACAUGUACUAUAAGGGCCUGAAGAAUUUCCUUACCUUUAGAGAAAGCAUGCCUCUGUCUGGCCAAUUCCAGUGGAUCAAGUGAAAGAGUUCUUGAUCAACAUGGAGUCCCAGAAUCUGCCUCCUGCAAAAAUAAUAAUGUAUAUGGAAGGAUUGUCCUUCAUCUUCAGAAUGGUAGAUCAUCCUGAUCCUCUUCAAGAUCCUGCUAUCUGUCACAGGAUAUCGGGGUUAAAACAUAGGACUGGCCCUUCAAAUGAUCAGUACUCUCCUGUAACUAUUGAAGUGUUAAGGUCUCUGCUGGGGACUCUGGAAUCUGUGUGUAGCUCUCCUUAUGAGUGUAUAUUGUUCUGUGCCAUGUUUACUGUGGCUUUUUUUGGGUGCACUCUGUAUAGAAGAGAUGAUGCCAAAUCACUGACAUAGAGUGCAGCCAGAGCUCCUGUACUUGAGUGACCUCCAGCUGACUGCAGGCAAUGCAAACCUUAGUUUGCAUACAUCCUAUAUGGGCCGACAGAGGAAUUUGAUCCAACUGAGAUUCUAUAAAGAGAUGUGGGUAUGUCCUGUUGAAGCUCUCCACAUCUAUGUGGCAGCACAGCCACAAGGAGAGGGCCCCCUCUUUGUGCACUUGGAUAGUACGGCUGUGACAAAGAGGGAGUUCCUAACUGUCUUCCACUGUGCUCUUGACCUUGCUGGACUCCCUCCAAACCAUUAUGGUGUGCAUUCCUUCCAGCUGGGGAACCGUGAGAGUGGUCUCUCAUGGGUAUUCUGAUGAAGCUGUUAACAGCAUGUUGGUGGUGAAGAUCCUGAAGAUGACAUAGUUCCAUCUGUCUGUUGGGCUUCCAUAGUAAGGGGUAUCUUCUGCAAUGCAGAAAUCAUGUAUCUUACACAGACUGAACUUCAAGUGCUCUGCAAAGUUACAGAGAAGGGAAGUAACUAGUACAAGGUGACUUUUCCCACCUGGAAUUCUUUGAGAGUGGACCAUCACAGUUUUAAAGCUGCUGUGACUUGUGGGUUAGUGUGCAUGUUACUCAGCACGUCUGUUCUCAUUGUAGUUUGAUUUUUGUGUAAUCUUCUAUUAAACUGUUUUCUUUCAA